CCAACCCAUACAAACUCAAACCCCCACGAAAACCCCUCUCUCAUCUCCGCUUCUUCCUCGCCGCCGAAACCCUAACCUAGCCGCUCGUCGCCGCCGCCGCCGCCCCAGCCGCCAUGUCGAACCCCAAGGGUUCGAAAAUGCUCCAGUUCGUCAACUACCGGAUGCGCGUGACCAUCCAGGACGGCCGCCAACUCGUGGGGAAGUUCAUGGCCUUCGAUCGCCACAUGAACCUCGUCCUCGGCGACUGCGAGGAGUUCCGCAAGCUCCCGCCCUCAAAAUCUUCCAAGACCACAGGCGAGCGCGAGGAGCGGAGGACGCUCGGCCUGCUCCUUCUCCGUGGCGAGGAGGUCGUCUCCAUGACCGUCGAGGGCCNNNNNNNNNNNNNNNNNNNNNNNNNNNNNNNNNNNNNNNNNNNNNNNNNNNNNNNNNNNNNNNNNNNNNNNNNNNNNNNNNNNNNNNNNNNNNNNNNNNNCCGAAAUAUCUAGUCAUGCAAUCUGGUACACGGAUACAAGGAGUAGUAUCACACAACUCCUAUACUAACCCGUCACCUGUAUCACAUCCGUCAACACACAACCAGAAUCUCGGACCUUCAUCUAUAACAGACCCUCGUGAUCACAACGAUACAAAGUAUGGCAGUACUCCCGAACAAUCUGCACCAGUACUGGGGACAUCGGGGUUAUCUCGCCACUACUAGUAUUGAAGCAAUUACGAAGAUCCUUCGUUCUGAGAUACUAAGAAAUCUAAAUGAUAACGAUGUGCUCGAGAAUCCUCUGGAGCUCAACUCCCCGGAAGAAAAUCAAGUCAGACAGGAGGCACCAAGACAGAACUCCGUCACAUCGGCAUCAUAUAGAUUCCAAGAAUAUCCGCGUGAUCCUAAAAAAAAUUUGAGUGAGAAGAGGAGUAGAAUUAAAAUAUUACGUCAAGAUUCCUCACCAAAGCAUAGAAGAGGAGAAAAAAAGGAUCCUACUCUCCGAUAUAUAACUAAACUCAAAGUAGUUUUUCACUAGACUCGACUCGGCCAAGUUCGAUCAAUCAAGGGGGCUCCUAGGUCGGUACGGCUUUGAUACCAACUUGUCACGCCCAAGAUGCGACCCUAUCCUCAAUUUGGCACGAGGGCCUCGUCAGGGAUAGAAGCGCAUCUCGUCGUGUCGCAAGAAUGGAUAUCGCUACAAGUACAUGUACUGAAAAGAAGAGAUAUAUAUUGAGUUGGCUUACACUCGCCACAAGCUACAUCAGAGUCACUUCAGUACAUUACAUAAUCAUCAAGAGUAAGAGCAGGGUCCGACUACGGACGAAAACAAACGAGAAAAAUAAGAACGACGUCCAUCCUUGCUAUUCCAGGCUGCCGGCCUGGAACCCAUCCUAGAUCGAUGAAGAAGAAGAAGAAGCAACUCCAAAUGAACAAUCAACGCGCUCGCGUCAAGUACCCUUUACCUAUACCUGCAACUGGUGUUGUAGUAAUCUGUGAGCCACAGGGGACUCAGCAAUCUCAUUUUCGAAGGUAUCAAGACUAGCAAAGCUUAAUGGGUGAGGUAUAGUUAAGUGGUGAGGUUGCAGCGGCGGCUAAGCAUAUAUUUGGUGGCUAACUUACGAGUUCAAGAAAUAAGAGGGGGAAGAUCUACGCAUAACGGACGUGAACUACUGAUGAUCAAAUGAAUGAUCCUGAACACCUACCUACGUCAGACAUAACCCCACCGUGUCCUCGAUCGGAGAAGGAACUCACGAAAGAGACAGUCACGGUUACGCACACAGUUGGCAAGUUUUAAUUAAAUUAACUUCAAGUUAUCUAGAACCAGUGUUAAACAAAGUUUCCACGUUGCCACAUAACCGCGGGCACGGCUUUCCGAAAGAUUUAACCCUGCAGGGGUGCUCCAACUAGUCCAUCACAAAUUACCACAAGCCGCAUAGAAAUCCUUAAUCACGAAGCUCGCGAUCUCGUCGGAUUCCCUAGUGGAAAACCUCAACUCUGAGAUUACCCAAAGCAUCACCGGAAUCCCGAUGCACAAGAUAUCUCGUCAAAGGUAAAACUAAUCCAGCAAGGCCGCCCGACGUGUCGGCGAUCCCGAUAGGAGCCGCGUAUCUCGUUCUCAGCACACGACGGAUAAGCACAGCGUACGGUGGCCUGAUAGAAAUCUCCCGAGUUGCCCCGGGUUGGCCCCGCAAACGGCUCUAGUUUUGGACCAACACUCAUGAGGAGCACUGGCCCGGGGGUUGAUUAAAUUAGUCCGCGGGUGCAGGCGGGUCCCUAUGCAUUUUUAUUAGGUUAUUAGGCAAAAUGUAGUACCAAAGUUGGGCCUUGCCAGACCAGCUUUAAUCUAAAACGAAUUAUCAAGGGGGUCCCCAUAACAACCCUGAUCAUGUUAGGAGCGCUCAUUUAUGGAACAUAACACCGGUAGCCGAAAACUAAGGGGGCAAAGGUGGAACGAAACACCAGGCUAGAAAGGCCGAGCCUUCCACCUUUUACCAAGUAUAUAGGUGCAUUAAAUUAAAUAUCAUUAAGUAUGGUGAUAAGACAAGGAACCCAUGCUUUCACAUGGAAGCAACUGCACCUGCAACUAGCAACGCUAUCAACACGGUUGAGCAAGCGGUAACAUAGCCAAUCAGUGGUUUGCUAGGUCGAUCAGGUUGAAGGUUUCAUGGCAUUGUUGAGAGGCUGAUAAUUAACAGGUGGUAGGCAACGAGACAUAAUCGAUAGAAGCGGUAAAACUAGCAUGGCAAUGAUAGUAAUGGUAUCUGGGGAAAUGAUCAUCUUGCCUGAGAUCCCGCUUGGAAGAAGAAUGCCUCCGUGAAGCAGACGAACCGACGUAGUCGAACGGGUCCUCACAAUCCGACACGCUGCGGAACUCUAUCGAGACGAAGCAAACCGGAAACACAAGUCAACACACGAAAUUCACCACACGAUGCACAACACAUAUGAUGCAUGAGCUACUGAAAACAUGCAAGUCACGGCAUGACAAUCCACACAAUCAAACACUACACAUUAAGUGAAGUUCAAUAUGCAACGAGUUGCAUAUUGACGAAACUCCACGUUAAUUAUUUAGUUCACUCCGGUUAUUUACACGGCAAUAUUAAUGUUGUCAAACAUGCAAGAGGUGAAGCAGAAAUUAAACUACCUAGACAACACAGCAACAAAAUAUAAAAAAUUCCAGACAUAGAAAUAUUUCAGCUCCUCCAAAUCAGCACUAUUUCUAGCAACUUGAGGGCAAUCAAAACACACCUAAACAUGCAUUUCUAUUGCAACUAAAAAUACCAGGGGCUAGCCUAAACACCCAAGAACAACUCCCUAGUUGACAACUAAUUCAAACAAGGCACGGAAUAAAUCCUACGAAUUCAUCAAAAGGGCAACUUAGCAAAAUAUCUCGCGAACUAACUUGCUCUAAUGCUAAAACUAAUUGCACAGAAAAAUCCCUUGGACUUUUCUACCUCAGAAACAUAUAAAAUACGUGGGGUUGCAACACAAAAUAAAGCCACACAUUAAUGCGGGAAAAUAAUCUAUGCACGGGAAAAUAAACUACCACAAAACACUACGCGCAAAAAUACCAACGGCUACUCUAAAAUACAUGCAAAAAUGAUUCCUAAAACAUGGGCAUUUAAUCUACGGUAUACGGGCAGUCCAGACCACAAGAAAAAAAUACGGGACGAAACAAUAUAAGACAACACGUUAAACUAGGCGUUCGGCACGUAAAGCUACAUCAAAUAAUUAUGCAAGUCAUGAAAUCGUGUUCUACUCGCAAAACUACCCCAAAACCAUAUAAAAUACGCCUCGUACCGACUUACGGAUAAUAAUCUACGGGUGAAAGAAAUUAACUAAUAUUCCUAAAAUUAACUAAACCGCAGGGAAAUAAAAUAGCUAAAAUACUACGGGCCGAAUGUAAGCAUAAUGGGCCUAACAGAGGCGCGCAACAUAAUUUAACAAUGCGUUGUGCAAUAAAAAACAGAGUGCUCGGGUGUUGGCUCACUUUGGGCCGGCCCGUUUUGGUGGAGAGGAAGACCGGCUCGGGAUCCAGCUGGGCCACGUGGGGAGGCAGCGCUGGGCCGCUGCGGCGCGGAUGCUGGGCCGGCGCGGGGGCGGAGCUGGGCCGAGGCGGUGGCUACUGGGCCACGGCGUGUUGGGCCAGCUCGGCCUGGGCGAGGCAGAGCAGCUGGGCCGCGUGGGAGGCCAGCCCAGGGCGCUCAGGCGGUCAACGUGAGCGGCGCAUCGUGCCCAUCCCGAUCGGGACGAAGAACACAGGCGACGGCGGCGGUUCUCGAGGUCCCGGCCACGAUGUGUCGGAGCAGGGGAGCGUAGGGACAAGGCGGAGGGACCCGAGGGAGCCGAGGGGCGGCGGGAUCCGACGGGAUCCGGCCCGUGGAGGCGGCAGGAGGGGGAUCCGGCGACGACAGAGCUCGAGGUCGGGGACGCAAACUCCGGCGGCGCUGAGGUGGGGUCCAACCGGGAUCUGACGGGGGAGGCGAGGGAGCUUCACGGCAGCGGGGCUGGCGACUCCGGCGGCGGGUGCGCGGGCAGGCAGGGCAGACUCUGGCGAGGCCCUCCGGUGGAGCUCGUGCGGGGCUCGGGAGGCGGCCAGGGAGACGCCGGGCGGCGGCGGAUGGGCCUCGCCUGGGCCUGAUCUGGGCUUGGCGGGCCCGUGACGGCUGGGGGAGGAGAGAGAGGUGGGGAAGGCUAGGGUUUGGCACGGAACUCGAUGCACGGGAGAGGGGGUUGUCUAAAAUUAGCACGGGGUCUAUAUAUAGACAUAUGGGGGGGCUAGGUUACCCGAAAUUUCGUUCCGGAUCCAACUGUGCGGUCGGAUUCGGACGAUUCCGAACGCGGGAAUGGGUACGCGGCCGUGUAGAGGGGAUAUCCGGAGACGAGAGGGAAAACGGGCGGCGCGGCAACGAAUUUUAAAACACCGACAGACGUCCGACGGUAGACCGAAUACGGUGCCGCUACGGUCGACCGUUCGGGUACCAAACAAACUCCGAUCGCGACGAAAUUUGACAGGCGGCCUACCUAUAUAUAAAUAAAACCGCACGACAAAUUCCAGCUCAAUUGGAGAAAUUUUUAUACACGCUUUAAAAAACAGAGUUACGACGGUGCCGCGGGCGCGGGCGUGUGCAGUCAGGCUCGGAACGAACAACGACGAACGCGAAGAGAAGCGGCAACUAAUAACGGAUGCAAGUUUUGAAAACUGGCGGCAACGGAGAUGCCGAUGCAAUGCAGAUGAUGUGCAGGAUGCGAUGAUGAUGCGACAAAUAAAGAUAGACACACUAUGAAAACGGAAAGAAGGGGGAAUCUUCUGGAACGUCGGCAUCGGGCUGUCACACUUUGUCUAGCCCACCAGGGGUUGGUCCAACUCUUAUCAUAGCCCACAAGGCUCUUGGGUCGUCACACCCCUCCUGGUGGUCCCCCGGCACCCUCUCGACACUCCCGACACACUACCUUUGAGCCCGAAACCUUUCUGGUGACCAAAACAGGACUUCCUAUAUAUAUAAUUCUUUACCUACGGACCAUUCCUGAGCUCCUCGUGACGUCCAGGAUCUCAUCCGGGACUCCGAACAACCUUCGAUCACCAACACCUAUAACUCAACUAUACUGAAACGUCAUCGAACCUUAAGUGUGCAGACCCUGCGGAUUCGAGAACUAUGCAGACAUGACCGAGAUACUCUCCGAUCAAUAUCCAAUAGCAGGACCUGGAUGUCCAUAUUGGAUCCUAUAUAUUCUACGAAGAUCUUAUCGGUUGAACCUCUAUGUCAAGGAUUCACACAAUCCCGUAUACCAUUCCCUUUGUCCUUCGGUAUGUUACUUGCCCGAGAUUCGAUCGUCGUUAUCGACAUACCUAUUUAAAUAUCGUUAGCAGCAAGUCUCUUUACUCGUUCUGUAAUACAAGAUCCCAUGGCUAACUCUUUAGUCACAUUGCUUUGCAAGGGUUGUUUCUGAUGUUGUAUUACCGAGUGGGCCCCGAGAUACCUCUCCGUUACACGGAGUGACAAAUCCCAUUCUUGAUCCAUGCUAACUCAACGGACACCUUCGGAUAUACGUGUAGAGCACCUUUAUAGUCACCCAGUAAUGUUGCGACGUUUGAUACACACAAGGCAUUCCUCCGGUGUCAGUGAGUUACAUGAUCUCAUGGUCAUAGGAAUGUAUACUUGACAUGUAGAAAACAAUAACAACAAAAUGACACGAUCAUAUGCUACGUUUAUAGUUUGGGUCUUGUCCAUCACAUCAUUCUCCUAAUAAUGUGAUCCCAUCAUCAAGUGACAACACUUGUCUAUGGCUAGGAAACCUUAACCAUCCUUGAUCAACGAGCUAGUCAACUAGAGGCUCACUAGGAACAUUGUUUUGUCUAUACAUCCGCACAUGCAUUUGUGUUUCCAUUCAAUACAAUAUAGCAUGGAUAAUAAACGAUUAUCUUGAAACAGAAAAUACAAUAAUAACUAUUUUAUUAUUUCCUCUAGGGCAUAUUUCCAACAUGUAUGUCAUAGACCGGUUAAUCAGGGAUGAUAGACUACUCAUAUCAAUAAGGAAUCCCUUCUUUUCCGGGAGCCCAUUGGGAAAGAACUCCCGAGCUAAGCGUGCUCAGCUUGGAGUAAUUUCAGGAUGGGUGACCAUGUGGGAAGUUGUUCCCAGGUGCGCAUGAGUAAGGACAAAGUGCGCAGAAAAAACUAGUUUGAUAUGUGGGGGCAGUCUAGAUCCCGACGGUGGUAACAACCAGUGGCGGGUAUCCCCGGGGCGGUACACAAUACUCCAAAGUGGUGGGAAGGAAGGAGGGUGCAAAUGUCUACAUGUUGAUUCCACCCUAACCUUUCCAAAUGUGGACCCCUCUUGAUAGUACGAAUUUCCUACGACUCAAAACCACCAAAAUGAAAUUGUCGGAAAGUAAUUGUCCUCUCUUUAAACACCGAGGGGAAUAAACCAUUUCGUGCCAUUUGGUAAUCUCUGAAAUUAUGGUUAGUCGGCAAAGUGCAUUGUCAUCAAUCACAAAAACCACUUAGGAGAAAAUGUGUUCUAACAGUUGUCAUGUCCAAAAUGGUCUUUUCCCCCUUUGGGAGACUGCAACUAUAAAUAGCCACCCCUUCCAACAUGAAUCGUUGGCUAUUUCAUGCAAUUCUUACAAGCUAUGUGAGCACCCUAGCACCUAGAAGAUUUGAGUUUAAAAUCCACCAAAAGAAAACCCAAAGCUAAAAAAUUAGACUGUAAUCGGUGGCUCAAAAAACACGAGCAUAUAUACAUGCAACUUGUUCGGUCGAUUCUCCCUUCGUUAACAUGAGUGUAAUCGGUGGCUCCCCAACUUUCCUAGCAACAUUUCCCGACUAACUUUUUCUUCUUCGUCUGACCAUCAGAAACACCUUUGAUUCUCGCCCAAACCAGAACCAUGUUCACUCUAUAGUCAGUUAUGUUUGUGAAUCCAUCAUACUCCGUAAUCACUACCGGUGCAUCCCCGAAUAUCCAUGGGUCUCCCUCCAUUAUUCUUCUCCAACCCCUUAUGCACUCACAUUGUACGAGGAACAUGUUUGGAUCUUUUGUAACAUUAAAAGUGACCCAUGGGAAGGACAACAUGUGUUGCGCAUGGCGUUGAGCACUGUUGCAUGGUUGAACGACCUGGUCAUCUGCAUCCUGAAUAUAGCCAACCAUCCAACCUCCUUGACAAAAUCAUUCGACGCUUUGAGAAGCUAUAAUGACUAAGAUGUGACCCUUUCCUUAUUUGGGGGCGAGGCCUCAAAAGGGGAAAGGGGCGCAUCUAUGUGUUUCGCAAACGGGAUAAUCAUCACAAUACAUAAUUAAAAGAGUAACAAGUAGGGCAUACACUUGCCAUCUGUUAAGAAUAUAGCAUAUAACUUACAUACACACAUUAUUCAGAGUAGCAGAAGGUCCAGCUACGGACUUAAACAGAAAACAGAUGAACUAAAACAUCCCGUAUGCUGGCCCAGGAUCACGACCACGGCCUCAGUCUUCCGGAUAGUUCACAUACAAACGGCCAGAGUCCUCGUCGAACUCCCACUUCAGCUGGUUGUCAUCAGGAUCUCCUGCAUCAGGCGUACCUGUACCUGUUGGGGUUUGUAGUAAUCUGUGAGCCACGGGGACUCGGCAAUCUAAUGACCUUGGUAUCGAAUCUAGCCAAGUUAUUAGGUGAGGAAGGUUUAGUGUAUGGGUUUGCCGCAACCUAAGCAUAUAUGGUGGCUAACUUACGAUGAUCAGAGUUUUCAUAUGGUGGUCUACACGAGCGAUCGAAGACUAGAUUGAUCUCUAAGUGAUCCUGAACACCUACCUACAUCAAAACAUAACCCCACCAUGUUCUCGAUCGAAGAGCGGUCUCCGAGGGAGACAGUCACGGUUAUGCACACAGUUGGCAGUUUUAUUAGAGUUACUUCAAGUUGUCUAGAACCGUAUGUUAACAAAAUAUCCACACUUGCCACAUAACCGCGGGAACGGCUUUCCGAAAGAUUAAACCCUACAGGGGUGCUCCAACUAGUCCAUCACAAACUGCCACGGGCCGCAAAGUAAUCUUCUAUCACGAAACUCGUGAUCUCGUCAGAUUCCUUAGAGGAAAACCUCAACUUUGAGGAGACCCAAAGUUUCACCGGAAUGCCUAUACGCAAGAUAUAUCGCUAAGGUAAGAUAAAUCUGGCAAGACCUCCUGCCGUGUCGACGAACCCGAUAGGAGCCGCGUAUCUCGUUCUCAGGACACGACGGAUUGUCCAAACUUCCAAUGGGCCAAUCACAGAGUUGCCCCUGGUAGCCACCGGCGGUUGACAGGUUGGACCAACACUCAUGAGGAGCACUGGCCCGGGUUGUUGAUUAAAUCCUCGGGGUAGCCAUCCCUAUGCAAAUUAUUAUUAGGUUAUUAGCAGAUUAAAACCGAUGUUGGGUCCUUCCAGACCAGCCUUAACACUACACGAUUUAUCAAGGGGGUCCCCAUAACAACCCCGAACGUGUUGGGAGCGAUCAGUUAUGGAAUCAAACACCCGUAACCGAAAACUAAGGCGGCAACAACGGAACAAAUCACCCGGCAAAAGGCUAGGCCUUCCGUUAUUUGCCAAGUAUGUAGGUGCAUUAAUUAAAUAGCAGUUUAAACAUAAUGAUAUCAAAAUACUCAUGUUAUCACAUGAGACAGCUGGCACCUGCAACUAGCAAAGCUACUCAUUAGAGGUUGAGCAAGCCUACUUAGCCAAACAACAUUUGCUAGGAGAGGGAAGUUUUUGGGGUUCAUGGCAAAGACAAGUGGCAUUUAUAUCAAGUGGUAGGCAACGAGCAUGUAACGAAGGAAACGUGAUUCUAAGCAUAACAAAGCUAGAUACGGUGUCAAGUCACAGUCAUCUUGCCUGUGAUGUCUUCAGCUUGGAACUGCUCUUGAUCUUCCUGCACGUACUCUCCAGAAUCCACGUACCCGCUCUCUGUUCCUGAUGCUACCCAAGAUAAGAUAACAGCCAAUGAACACCGGCAAAACAUAAUGCAACAACCAAUAUGAUGCAUGUGUGAAGAAGGAAGCAUGCAUCACUAUUCUAGUCACUUUCAUAUGCACUAGUUGAGUUAAUUGAAUUCUGGAUAGAACUUCAUAUUAAGUUAUCUUGACAUGCAUGAAUAUGGUAUGAACAUGUGCAUCACAAGAAAACGAUGCAAAAACAUAUAAAGAACAUAGAGAACGGAGUUACUGAUCAACCAAAAACUACAAAACAAGUUAUGGAGACUUACGGUUCAAAUCAACCACAAAAACACUCCAAUGGGCACUCCCUGGUAUUACCAGGUUGCCACAUGAUCAAGCAACAAAAUAUAAGUGGGGUGGUGCAUGGGAACACACCACACCAUCAACAAUGCCCACACAAGCUUCAAAUCAACACAAACAUGCAAUCUGUUUUCAACAACAACAUAACAAUUUGUCUACAAUAUUUAAAGUAGCUACAACCAUCUAAAAGGGUCAAACAAGAUAUGAGGCAGAAGCCAUCCAAAAGAUCUACAACCCUGAACAAGAAGCUAAUGCAAAGGAAUCACCCCUGAGCAGAUCUACAUGCACUAACUUGGACAAAAUAUCACAGAUUCUCGAACUUAGUGAAAAUCACAGAUUUUCACCAGCUCCUUAUGCUCUGAAGCAUUUUGGCAGCCUCCAAAAUGAUAUCUACAGGAAGUGCCUAAGCAUGAAAUUUAACAGGGAGCUAAACAAACAUAAAAGCUCACAAACUUUAGUUUGUUGCAUGGGCUGAUUCCCAACACACGAGCUAAUUCACACAAGACAACAUGAGAGGAAAAUAACAUCACAUUCCCAGACUUAGUGAAAAUCACAAGGUUUCACAAAUUUGUCAGUUUCAGCCAAGUGUCCACUUUGACAGGGCACAAUAGGUGCAUACAAAUUCCUAAGAACAAAACAAAGACCCCACGUUGUAGAGAGGUUCACCCACUAUCAUUCCAUCAAGGAAUCAUCCACAAAGGGCCAUAGCACCGCCUAAUGUAAGGCUCUAAACAUGGCAUCAUAUCAGAAAAUAAUAGUUUUAUGAAGUUGCUCUAAAGUGAAAUCUGAUUGCACCAAUGGAUUCCUGGGAUGAUUCUACCCCAAAAUCAUAUAUAAUACAUGGAUACUUGCAUGUAACAAUAUUGCACAGAGCUAGCUCGAAAAUAUCACUUAGAAUCCUAUAAACUACAAAUGACUAUCAUCACAUGUGAAAACUAGCACAUAUAGCAUCACCUACACAUGCACAUCACUAGGGCUAGAACAACCCAACUAGGCAUAGCAUGGAAUCACUAACAUGUCACACCAACAUAUAUUGAUAGGUGUUCAUCCACAAACACACACACAUGUGCAACACCUACACAUGCACUCACACAAGCACUACUCACUCCACCACAUUACUAAUGGCAAACAUGAGGGAUUAGGCCCUCAUGCACAAGUGCAUGGACACUCAUGCACACACACACACACAUUCAUGUGCACACACACACUCACAUACACAUGCACAUGCACUCAUGUGCACACACAUACACUCACAUACACAUGCACAUGCACUCAUGUGCACACACAUACACUCACAUAUACUCUAGGCCUCAAAAGAAAUAAAACACACCCCCUGGUUUUUUUAAAAGAAACAAAACAACAAUAUGCAGCAAAAGAAAAGAAAAAGAAAAAGAAAACAAAGGAAAACAAAAAGCGGAGGCCCUGGGGAUCGAACCCACAACCCCUGGCAUACCCACACACACUCACACCACCACGCUACAGCAUCGGCGCUUGACUUAGAGAGGGAUGCAUGCAAGCUAAUCUCUCUGGCAUUGCACCUGCCUCUAGGCGAAAUAACAGAAAAAUAAAAGGGUGUCCCGAGGGACUCAAACCCACAACGCACGGCUCGGUUCCACUGCGCUACGGUAAGGAAUCUUACCAGAGAGGGGGAGCGUGCUCUAUUGAGCAACCCCUCUGCAACUAACCUACCACCACACGGCGGCCGGAAUAGGGGAGAUCGACGGCGACACAACGACGGCUAAUCCCUAAUGGCUAGCACCACGAGGGGGAAGAGGGAGCCCUGGGGGUUCCAUUCCCGCGCCUAACUAGGCAAGAGGACGGCUGCAUCGGCGGUGCAACGGAGCUGCUGCUCCUGGCCAUGGCAGAGCACGGCGACGACGACAACUACGCUACGACGAGCAAUAGCUCUACGACGAGGGAAAAGGAAGAAGGAGGAGGUACUGCUCACCCCAACGCGUCGAGGAGGAGAAGGAGGCUCGACGAAGAGGAAGAAGAGGUGAUGCGACGCGACCCUCUGCUCCUUCCGCCCGCGACGACGACGGCGAGGAGGGGCCGACAAAGGAAGGGACCCCCCCCUUCCUAGCGAUGGGAAUGGAUCGAGGGAGGAUCCAGCAUCCUCCCUGUGUGCUCGGAUUCCACGGGGACGAACCGGCGACGAGGGGAGGGAUGACGGCGACGGGCGGCGCUCUCUGUGAACUCUCUGGAGCUUACCUGCAGAGGGAGAGGGAGCGAGAUGGGAACGAGGUGGCGGCGGAGGAGGAACCCUAGACGAGGGUCUCACAUGCCGAGGGGAUUAAAUAAGGGUCGAGGGGACGGCCUCGACGUCCGUGAAGCCACGGCGUCGAGCUCACUCUCUCACACACGUGACACACUCUCUGACGGAAAGGAGGGGAGAAAGGCAACGACGCCAGGAGGUGGAAGAGGGUCGCCCAGCGGGCCAGGUGCUUGAGAAGGAAAAGAAAGAAGGGGUGAGGCCCAGGUAAGAGGAGGGAGCCGAUCCACCUGGGCGCCUGCUAAAACAGAAAAGACUUAAAAGGGUUUUCCUUUUUCAAAUAAACCAAACAGAAAACAAAAUACCCAACUUACACAUGGGUUUUGAAAAUAAAAUAAAAACACCUAGGGCAUGAGGGAUUUAUGCCCUAUUUAAAAAAAUACAAAUCUGAUUUUUAGAACAAGUAAAUUAUAUUCAAAACAGGAUUUAUAAUGUUGUUUUUUAAUAAAAACCCCAAAUGACUUAAAGCUUUAAAACAACAAGACAAAUACCCCCUCAACCACAAAUUAAUACUCUAAAUGUAUAACAUUUUUAAAACACGUUCCCACAAAGUUUAACACACAAGUUCUAAUAACAAAAGGGAAGGCUUUGCCUUGUUUGAAAAGCAUUGAAGUUUGAAAGCAUGUUUGGAAGCAUUGUAUACAAACACCACAACACUCAUCACACCAAAGCAAAGCUAUCACAAUCAAUAUGGAGUUGAACACAAUGCACUUGAAAGGGAUGCCAUGAUGCAAGAUGAUCACAUGAGAUGAUCCACAUGAAAUGACAACUUUAUAACAUCCAAACAUGGUUCCACAACAUAGGAAAGGAUCCAAAUAUGGUAAGGAUUACAUCUGGGGUGUUACAGAAGCCUAGAUCCAUCUUCUCUUUGCCAUGAAAGAUCCAGUCCCUUGCCAUGAAGAUUCAGUCCCUCGAAGCAAUCUUUCAUGUUCUCAGCUGAUCGAUUUUGCUGUGCAUUUUUUUUAGGGAAGUCCACUCGUCCUUGGUUUUUUAGGGGUCUCAUCAUGGUAAUUAGGCGUUUUUUCUUUUUAAGAAUUGAUAAUUUUUUAGGCAAUUUGAGAAUUGGUACUUAGUUGUGGGGAAGUUGUUUUUGCGAAGUUUGAACCAUGCCCAAGCCCAUCUGGAAGGCCCAGGCCUAUACCGACAACCCUGAUGCUGCGAGUCUGCGACAACGCCUACCCCGUUCGAGCCAACCCAUACAAACUCAAACCCCCACGAAAACCCCUCUCUCAUCUCCGCUUCUUCCUCGCCGCCGAAACCCUAACCUAGCCGCUCGUCGCCGCCGCCGCCGCCGCCGCCCCAGCCGCCAUGUCGAACCCCAAGGGUUCGAAAAUGCUCCAGUUCGUCAACUACCGGAUGCGCGUGACCAUCCAGGACGGCCGCCAACUCGUGGGGAAGUUCAUGGCCUUCGAUC
rnacentral:lncRNA from 1 species